rnacentral:rRNA from 1 species
UACGUAGGGUGCGAGCGUUAAUCGGAAUUACUGGGCGUAAAGUGUGCGCAGGCGGCCGAGCAAGUCGAGUGUGAAAGCCCCGAGCUUAACUUGGGAACUGCGCUCGAAACUACUUGGCUGGAGUGUGGCAGAGGAAGGUGGAAUUCCACGUGUAGCGGUGAAAUGCGUAGAGAUGUGGAGGAACACCGAUGGCGAAGGCAGCCUUCUGGGCCAACACUGACGCUCAUGCACGAAAGCGUGGGGAGCAAACAG